rnacentral:ncRNA from 1 species
UAAUUUGAUUUGGUUUUUCAAUAAAAAAUUAUAUGUUUUUUAUGUUUUCUUUAAAAAAUGUAUAUACAGAAAAUAAAAUUUACUUAAUAAUAAAAGAUUAUUGAAACUUAUAAAAAAUAUUUAGCGGAUUUUGUGCCAGCAGCAGCGGUUAGACAAAAAAAUAUAUUAUUAAUUUAAUUUUUUUUAAUAAAAAAAUAUUAAAAUUAUUAAUUUAAUAAGGUGAAAUUUUUAAAUUAAUAUAAAAAUUUUAUAUUAAAAAAAAAUCUACCAAAGACUAGGAUUAGAUACCCUAUUAUUAAGAAAUGUAAUAUUGUUAUUAAGUAAUUUUUAUGAAAACAAAAAAUUAUGGCGGUAUUUCAAGCUUUUCAGAGGAAUUUGCUCUGUUAUGGAUAAAACACCUAAAUCUUACUAAAAUUAGUAUAAGUCAGUUUGUAUACCACUAUUAUAAUAAUAAAUAACAUUUAUUUUUAAAAUUUUUAAAAAAAUAUAAAAUAAGUUAAGUCAUGGUGCAGCAUAAAUUUUUAGAAUGAAGUGAAUUACAAUUCUUUUUAGAUAAUUAAAAAUUAAAUAAAUUUUAGGAUUUGAAAGUAAAAAUUCAAUAUAAUGGAAUUUUGAAUUAAGCUCUGAAAUAUGUACAUAUCGCCCGUCGCUCUUUCUUGAAGAUAAGUCGUAACAAAGUUAAAAUACUGGAAAGUGUUUU